rnacentral:rRNA from 1 species
AUUGAACGCUAGCGGCAUGCUUUACACAUGCAAGUCGAACGGCAGCGCGGACUUCUUUCUGGCUGCUAGUGUCGAACGGGGGAGUAAUGUAUCGGAACGUGCCCAGUAUCGGUUUGUAACUACUCGAAAGCGUAGCUAAUACCGCCUACGCCCUGCUGCUGAAGCCAGGUGAUCGUAAGACCUUUCACGAUUUGAGCGGCCGAUAUCGGAUUAGCUAGUUGGUGAGGUAACGGCUCACCAAGGCGACGAUCCGUAGCUGGUUUGAGUGGACGACCAGCCACACUGGGACUGAGACACGGACCAGACUCCUAAGGGAGGCAGCAGUGGGGAAUGUGGGGCAAUGGGGGGAAACAUGAUACAGCCGUCGCGAGUGUGAGAUGAAGGCCUUCGGGUUGUAAAGAACUUUUGGCAGGAAAGAAACGUUGCGGGCUAAGACGAAGUGGAAGUGACGGUACCUGGAGAAUAAGCACCGGCUAACUACGUG